UUCUCACCAUCUCAAAAACCACACACUAACCACUACAGCUGAGUUCUUCCUCAUGUUAAAAAAAAUUAGAAGUAUUACUAUAGCUUAUUUGGGCAAUUACUGUUCAAUACUACUUUGUCAACAGUGAUGUGCAACCCAUAAGACUGCAGUGUGCAGAAUUUUAGCUCAAUAAAAUUCUUUCACUACAAAUUUUAAAUAAACAAAAAUACAAGAUGAAUGACAGUACAUAUACAGAACCUCUGAGAUAUCAAGGUAGAAAAAAAAAUUAUUUGCAGGGCGAAAUUGUUCUCUCAAUUUAAUAAUCAGUUCCCUCUUUGACUGAUUGAUUGAUUGAUUGAUUCAAAAGCAAAACAUCAAACAAACAAAUUUUUAAAAAACAUGUAUUAACUAAAGGCUGCAGCUGAUUUCUUUCUAUCCCUGACUAUAGAUUCAUGCAGCAUAGAGUUGUCUCUUGUGUUAAGUGAUUACACUUAAGUGAAAAGUGAAAAAAAACCCUGCGUUUUAUGUCCACUAGCUCAUCACAUUCUUAACACAUCUUCAGCAGUGAUUAAGAUAAUACAUAUGAAUCAGGUGGAUUAUUUCCUCAAAAGUACAUUUUUUCAAUAUCUUUUAGGAGGAGAUACUAGAAGUACUUAGACUAAGGUGAUACCUUCCAAGCAAAGUACAAAUCACACAAAGGAACAAUAUAAAUAAGACUAUAUAACUAUAAAUUUUAUGCCUAUGUCUAUAUGAUGAGAUGUUUUUCUAUAAGCCUCAAACCGAAUGGUUUCAUAAUAGUAAUGAUGAGUUACUGACAGGUAGUAAAAUUUAGACCUCACUAGUCCCCUCACUUUAAUAAUCCAUAUAUGCAACAUACAGUACAUGCCCUGUCAUCAAAACAUAAACUGAUGGGAAAAUGUAAUAACCACAUGUACUUCUGUUUUUACACACAAAGUAGUUGUUCAAUUUGAUUUACUUUACUUUUAUUUGUAUAGCAGUUUUUACAAUAGAGUAGAUCAGAAAGCAAUUUAAUGAAUCCUAAGACCAUACUAGUAUUCAAUACACUGAUGAUAAUGCUAUGAGAUAGUACAGCAAUAAAAUCUUAAGUAAAUUGAAGAGCUAGAGGUCUGAAAAUUAAAGAUACAAAGGUUUUACAGUUUUUUACAUCCACUUGUCAAGUCUCAGCUCUCCCAAAGUAUAGUGUACUUCAGAGUAUAGUGCCAAAGUCAAACAAAUUUCAGAUCAAGGCCAAGAAAGAGAGGUGUGGCAGAAGAGUUUGAAACCAAAUGCCUCUAGAGGUCACACUUCACCAGAGCUGCUGUUAUUACUACAUGGUGUGCAUUACAGAGGGCAAAGAUUAUGACUGGCAUUAUACUAUUAAUUCUGUUUUUACCUGCUGGCUUCAGUGUAAGACAGUCUCCUGAUCUUUCUGCUUAUGAGGGUCAGAAUGUGACUCUUCAGUGUACUCAGAUUGAUACCACCUUUAAUGGCAUGUACUGGUUCAGAAAGAGACCUUCUCAAUCCCUGGAGCCCAUUGUAUUCUACUAUGUUAACACAGGCACAACUGAAGAUAAAUUUAAGCAGAAAGUUUCUGCGAUAAGGAAAGGCAACUCUCUGGAUCUAACUGUGAAGGAGCUGAAGAGCACAGACAGUGCCGUCUACUUCUGUGCAAAACAGGAUGCACAGCAUGACAACCUAAUCUUUAACCUGAACAAGAACUGCACCACUGCCACAACAAACACGUACUCAACACCUGUUAACUGUAGCACACCAACCAAGUACUCAUGACCAAAAUACACAAGAGACAGAUAUAUCGAUGGGUGGUGAAGUCACUUCCUGUCAUCUGGAUUUUAUAAGCAAGUGUUGGUUUGCUCUCUAUCAAUGACAGGAAACAAAUCAGCAUAAUGAUUCUGCUCUUUUUAUCUCAAAUCAUGCUGGCUGGUAAGUGUCUAUAGCUCUCCCUUGCUAUUUCUGUCUAUAAUUUAUUAAUUUCAUUUUUGUCUCACAGCCAUGUUGAAUUCUUGAUUCUGACUGGUCAGAAGGCUUUGAUUAAUUUUCCAUAACAGCACCUCUGUAGUAAAUCACAGGUUUACAGUCAGGUCCAUAAAUAUUGGGACAGUGACACAG